UCAUGUAAUGAUUUCCUAGUGGCCUUAAUGCACUGGAUCCCAUCAAAAUUCUACAUUUAAGCAUUCUUUGGAUAGAGUAGUACUAGGAUGGGUGACCUCAUGGGAAGUCCUAGUGUUUUACAUGCC
rfam:Picea glauca, whole genome shotgun sequence.